rnacentral:rRNA from 1 species
GACGAACGCUGGCGGCGUGCUUAACACAUGCGAGUCGAACGGAAAGGCCCUGCUUUUGUGGGGUGCUCGAGUGGCGAACGGGUGAGUAACACGUGAGUAACCUGCCCUUGACUGUGGGAUAACUUCAGGAGACUGGGGCUAAUACCGGAUAGGAGCUCCUGCUGCAUGGUGGGGGUUGGAAAGAUUCGGCGGUUGGGGAUGGACUCGCGGCUUAUCAGCUUGUUGGUGGGGUAGUGGCUUACCAAGGCUUUGACGGGUAGCCGGCCUGAGAGGGUGACCGGCCACAUUGGGACUGAGAUACGGCCCAGACUCCUACGGGAGGCAGCAGUGGGGAAUAUUGCACAAUGGGCGGAAGCCUGAUGCAGCAACGCCGCGUGCGGGAUGACGGCCUUCGGGUUGUAAACCGCUUUCGCAUGUGACGAAGCGUGAUUGACGGUAAUGGGUAAAGAAGCACCGGCUAACUACGUG